UGGGGAAUUUUCCGCAGUGGGCGAAAGCCUGACGGAGCAAUACCGCGUGAGGGAGGAAGGCUUUUGGGUUGUAAACCUCUUUUCUUAGGGAAGAAGAAAGUGACGGUACCUAAGGAAUCAGCAUCGGCUAACUCCGUGCCAGCAGCCGCGGUAAUACGGAGGAUGCAAGCGUUAUCCGGAAUUAUUGGGCGUAAAGCGUCCGCAGGUGGCACUUCAAGUCUGCUGUCAAAGACCAGAGCUCAACUCUGGGCAGGCGGUGGAAACUGGGGAGCUAGAGUACGGUAGGGGUAGAGGGAAUUUCCAGUGUAGCGGUGAAAUGCGUAGAGAUUGGAAAGAACACCGGUGGCGAAAGCGCUCUGCUAAGCCGUAACUGACACUGAGGGACGAAAGCUAAGGGAGCGAAUGGGAUUAGAUACCCCUGUAGUCC
rnacentral:rRNA from 1 species